GUCUACGGCCAUACCACCCUGAACACACCUGAUCUCGUCUGAUCUCGGAAACUAAGACAGACACUAGUCAUAGUUAAAAUCUAACUGGGAAGCAGAAGACA
rnacentral:rRNA from 1 species